CAGUCGCCGCGGUAAUCCGUAGGUGGCAAGCGUUGCCCGGAAUUAUUGGGCGUAAAGGGCUCGCAGGCGGUUUCUUAAGUCUGAUGUGAAAGCCCCCGGCUCAACCGGGGAGGGUCAUUGGAAACUGGGAAACUUGAGUGCAGAAGAGGAGAGUGGAAUUCCACGUGUAGCGGUGAAAUGCGUAGAGAUGUGGAGGAACACCAGUGGCGAAGGCGACUCUCUGGUCUGUAACUGACGCUGAGGAGCGAAAGCGUGGGGAGCGAACAGGAUUAGAUACCCCGGUAGUCCCUGUCUCUUAUAC
rnacentral:rRNA from 1 species